rnacentral:lncRNA from 1 species
GCUUGCUGCCCAUGGGAUCCAGGUCUGUGUGUUUGAGAUCCCCCAGCCUCCUGGUUCCCCUGGAGAAGAGAGGCCAUGGAGGAGCCUGCCCAACAUGUUUGCUGCUUCCCUGCUCCGGUCAGGAUUCCAGCUCCAUCUGGAUCUGGAGAGGUGAGUGGGGUCAUAGGUGACCUCAGCUUCUUGUCCCCGUCCGUAUUCCUGGACAAGGAGGAUGGUGGAAGGACGGAGGACAAGGCAGUGCCUCUGGAAAUCCAAAAUGCCAAGUCCCAGCCCAGGUGCCUCCCUCCCACCGAGGAGCCUCUGGUGUCCUGGUCGCCUCUGGACGUGGUGUGGCCACCAGAAGAACCGGGCAGCUCCAAGGGGCCCCCUGCUGGCCUGAGGAGUUGCUGCGGCCACAAAGAAGAGGUGCGCUCACUCCCCACACCCGCUGACCCAGGACCCAGCUCAGGGACCCAGACCAUGCCAAGCACUUCGCUGGGAGCCACCGGGAAACAGCAUCUCCCCACAGCCCUGCGAGCUGGGCCUUUCACAGAUGUGAGGCCCUGGAGGAGACUGUCCCGUCAGGCUGCUCCCAAAAAUCCACUGUCAGGGAAACAAGCAAGAGGCAGAACAUGAAUAAAAAUAACAUGAAAGUGUAAUUAUUUAAAAAAUAACGAGCAAAGGUGCUGUGCAAGCAUAGACUCUGGAGGAUGGCGCGAGCACCGGGCAGCCCUCAGGGCUUCCUGGAAGGAG